rnacentral:rRNA from 1 species
GGAGACCGUAUAUUUACCAGGUCGACGGCGUGCCUAUUGAAGAAUGAACCAGCGAGUUACGAGGACCGGCAAGGUUAAGCAGGAAAUGCGGAGCCGAAGCGAAAGCGAGUCUUAAUAGGGCGACAAGUUGGAUUGCAUAGACCCGAAACCACAGUGAUCUACCCAUGUCCAGGCUGAAGCACAGGUAAAAAUGUGUGGAGGGCCGAACCUAUAUCCGUUGAAAAGGGUUAGGAUGAGGUGUGGGUAGGGGUGAAAUUCCAAUCGAACGUGGAGAUAGCUGGUUCUCCCCGAAAUAGCUUUAGGGCUAGCCUCGAGGUAGAGAUUGCAGGCGGUAGAGCACUGAUCAGGAGAGGGGCCUACCCGGCUACCAAACCCAGUCAAACUACGAAUGGCUGCAAUUAUACUCGGGAGUCAGACUACGACUUAUAAGGGCCGUGGUCAAAAGGGAAACAGCCCAGAUCAUCAGCUAAGGUCCCAAAUGCCGUGCUAAGUGGCGAAGGAUGUGGCGUUUCAUAAACAACCAGGAUGUUGGCUCAGAAGCAGCCACCAUUUAAAGAGUGCGUAAUAGCUCACUGGUCGAGAGACGCUGCGCCGAAAAUGUCCGGGGCUCAAGCACGGAACCGAAGCUAUGGCAUGAUAGCAAUAUCAUGGGUAGGGGAGCGUUCUUAACAGGAAGAAGCAUGACCGGAAGGACAUGUGGACCGUUAAGAAGUGAGAAUGCCGGUAUGAGUAUCGAAAAGAAAGGUGAGAAUCCUUUCCACCGAAAGCCCGAGGGUUCCUGAGCAACGAUCGUCGUCUCAGGGUAAGUCGGGACCUAAGCCGAGGCGGAGACGCAUAGGCGAUGGACAACAGGUUGAAAUUCCUGUACCGGAUACAAUCGUUUGAGCGAUGGAGCGACGCAGAAAGGCAUAUGAUCGCGCGACUGGAAGAGCGCGUCCAAGUGCGUAUGUUGAAUCGGAGGCAAAUCCCUGAUUCUGAAAGCAGAGACACGAUGGGGAGUUAUACGAAAGUAUGACGAACUCAUAGAUCCUACACUGCCAAGAAAAACUUCUAGUGAGAAAGUAUCCGCCCGUACCGUAAACCGACACAGGUAGGCGGGGAGAGAAUCCUAAGGUGCGCGGGAGAACCCUCGUUAAGGAACUCGGCAAAAUGUACCCGUAACUUCGGGAUAAGGGUAGCCACUGUUGUGAAGUCCCAUGCGGAUGGAGCAUAGAGUGGUCGCAGAGAAGAGGCCCAAGCGACUGUUUACCAUAAACACAGGUGCCUGCUAAAGCGAAAGCUGACGUAUAGGUGCUGACACCUGCCCAGUGCCGGAAGGUUAAGGAAGGAUGUUCGGAUUAGUCCAAAGCAUUCGACUGAAGCCCCGGUGAACGGCGGCCGUAACUAUAACGGUCCUAAGGUAGCGAAAUUCCUUGUCGGGUAAG